ACGACGACGAAGAAUCGGUUUCCUAUGACCUCUCACCGUCGCAAUUAAUUAACGGACGACGUAUUUGUUCAAGACCAAACAGCCAACAUUACGAGAUCGUUAGCACAAACGCAUCGUUAACCAAAAGAGCCAGGCGUCACAAGCAAAUCUUGUGUCAGUUUACAACGCGUUGGCGAAAGGAGUAUUUGAGGAAUUUACGCGAGAAUGCACAAGUGAACGGGAAACGUCAAAAAACGGAACAGCUUAAGGAAGGC